rnacentral:rRNA from 1 species
UACGUAGGGCGCAAGCGUUGUCCGGAAUUAUUGGGCGUAAAGAGCUCGUAGGCGGCUUGUCACGUCGAUUGUGAAAGCCCGGGGCUUAACUCCGGGUCUGCAGUCGAUACGGGCUAGCUAGAGUGUGGUAGGGGAGAUCGGAAUUCCUGGUGUAGCGGUGAAAUGCGCAGAUAUCAGGAGGAACACCGGUGGCGAAGGCGGAUCUCUGGGCCAUUACUGACGCUGAGGAGCGAAAGCGUGGGGAGCGAGCAGG